rnacentral:rRNA from 1 species
AGUAAAAGUCGUAACAAGGUUUCCGUAGGUGAACCUGCGGAAGGAUCAUUACAGAGUUCAUGCCCGAAAGGGUAGACCUCCCACCCUUGUGUAUUAUUACUUUGUUGCUUUGGCGAGCUGCCUUCGGGCCUUGUAUGCUCGCCAGAGAAUACCAAAACUCUUUUUAUUAAUGUCGUCUGAGUACUAUAUAAUAGUUAAAACUUUCAACAACGGAUCUCUUGGUUCUGGCAUCGAUGAAGAACGCAGCGAAAUGCGAUAAGUAAUGUGAAUUGCAGAAUUCAGUGAAUCAUCGAAUCUUUGAACGCACAUUGCGCCCCUUGGUAUUCCGGGGGGCAUGCCUGUUCGAGCGUCAUUUCAACCCUCAAGCUUAGCUUGGUAUUGAGUCUAUGUCAGUAAUGGCAGGCUCUAAAAUCAGUGGCGGCGCCGCUGGGUCCUGAACGUAGUAAUAUCUCUCGUUACAGGUUCUCGGUGUGCUUCUGCCAAAACCCAAAUUUUUCUAUGGUUGACCUCGGAUCAGGUAGGGAUACCCGCUGAACUUAAGCAUAUCAAUAAGCGGAGGA